rnacentral:misc_RNA from 1 species
AAGUCGUAACAAGGUUUCCGUAGGUGAACCUGCGGAAGGAUCAUUGCCGAACGGACGCCCGGGUUCCCGAAAGGGAAGACCGGGUGUCUUUUUCGACCAACCCAUGUGAACUCGUUUAAUGUGUUUAACAGUGAUGGGCGGUGGGUGUGUGGUGGACAACACCCCCAACCAACCACCGACCCUAUCUGUCCAAACAUUUUUAACAAACCACAUUUCUGAACACUCUUGACUGAGACUUAUAGGUCACGCCUAAAAAACGUUGAUCUCAAAAACCUAACCAUUACAACUUUUAACAACGGAUAUCUUGGCUCGC